rnacentral:rRNA from 1 species
GAUGAACGCUGGCGGCGUGCCUAAUACAUGCAAGUCGAGCGAACAGACGAGGAGCUUGCUCCUCUGACGUUAGCGGCGGACGGGUGAGUAACACGUGGAUAACCUACCUAUAAGACUGGGAUAACUUCGGGAAACCGGAGCUAAUGCCGGAUAAUAUAUUGAACCGCAUGGUUCAAUAGUGAAAGACGGUUUUGCUGUCACUUAUAGAUGGAUCCGCGCCGCAUUAGCUAGUUGGUAAGGUAACGGCUUACCAAGGCAACGAUGCGUAGCCGACCUGAGAGGGUGAUCGGCCACACAGGAACUGAGACACGGUCCAGACUCCUACGGGAGGCAGAAGUAGGGAAUCUUCCGAAAUGGGCGAAAGCCUGACGGAGCAACGCCGCGUGGGUGAAGAAGGUCUUCGGAUCGUAAAACUAUUUUAUUGGGGAAGAACAAAUGUGAAAGUAACUAUGCCCGUCUUGACGGUACCGAAUCAGAAAGCCCCGGCUAACUACGU